AAUCUCUUAACCAUGUCGGCUUGUAUCUUCCGAAGCAAGUAUUCACCCAUGGUCAAUUAUAUGUGGCUGUCUCCCGAGUAACAACAAGAGAAGGAUUAACCAUACUAAAUGCUGACGAGGACGCAGAAGAUCCUACAUUCAUUAAAAAUAUUGUUUACAAAGAGGUAUUCCAAAAUAUACGUCCUAUGGCUGCUGAGACACGCGAGGAUAACUAACUAUACCAUUGAUGAUUCAUGCUGGAAUGAGCUCUCAAUGCCGAUGACAAUUUUAAACGUCCUGCUUCAGUUGUGCUUAUGGCACCUCUCAUUGGGCAGUAUUCUUAUUUUUCUCUUUUCUCCUUUUUAUGCCAUUUUCCUUAUUUAUUUGUUAAGUGUCUUUUCUCACCUUUUCAGAAAAGGCGUGACCGGACAGUUUUUCAGUUACAACUUUGUCCAGAUAAGUUUUGAAAUCUAAACGCUCUAACACUUAAUUAUGGAAUUUGAAACGGUUUUCUAUUAUUAAAACAGUCACCACCACUAUUUUCCCAACUAUAUCUACAAUUUGUGCAUCUCAUCUUCUUGGUACUGCUUCAUGUUGGAUGCAUCAAGAAUAUAUCUCAUAUGCUGGUUAUUUAUUUUAGUACUUUUCGUGAGUGUAUUUUUGGACUUUUUGACCUCUUUAAAAUCUUUUUAAUGUGCAGGUUGAUGAAGAAUUGAAUAGAGUGAAUGUGACUGUAUAAUGGGCAAGUAGUCCUUCCUCAAGUCUAUGCAACCUUUCUUCAUCGAUUUUAAAACCGAUUCUUCGUUGCA